UUUCAUUCAUUGUUCCCUCUGCCUUCAAACAUGCAAAAAAAGUAACAUAAUCAAUGCCAGGAACAUUUCAAUACCCAAUAUGAAUAUAAGAAGCACUGAAGCAGAGUUAUUGCUCCAUCAGGUUUCAAAACGAGCUUUUUCUCUAAACCUAGUACUUAAACAAGGAAAAACGCAAGAAAUCUUGAACCACCAUGAAUGUAUUUAGUAGUGGCACACAGCACUAUACUAUAUUCCAUCAUGCUCCAUAAAAAUUUACCAGACAUUUGCAUAAAUGCAUAGAAGGGCUUGCAAGUGGUAAAGCGCAGCUACAUAGUUCACUUAAUGCACCAAAUGUGAAAGCGAAAUUAUACUCUGUUCUAUUGAAUUCAAGAAGUCUUCAACUCAUCAAUCAUCAUAACGACUAUAAGUGCAUAUAAUCAAUAAGGGGGGAAAACAGUACAUGGGUUAGGCAUCAUCUACACAGAGACAUAAAAACAAAGCCAAUCAGAAAAGCUCGAGACUCAUAAUAAGAGUAGAGAGAGCAAUAGCAGACAAUAAAAAUUGCAAGUACCUGA
rnacentral:misc_RNA from 1 species